rnacentral:rRNA from 1 species
CCUACGGGCGGCUGCAGUGGGGAAUAUUGGACAAUGGGGGCAACCCUGAUCCAGCCAUGCCGCGUGUGUGUAGAAGGCCCUCGGGUUGUAAAGCACUUUCAGUGAGGAAGAACGCCUGGUGGUUAAUACCCAUCAGGAAAGACAUCACUCACAGAAGAAGCACCGGCUAACUCCGUGCCAGCAGCCGCGGUAAUACGGAGGGUGCGAGCGUUAAUCGGAAUUACUGGGCGUAAAGCGCGCGUAGGUGGCUUGAUAAGCCGGUUGUGAAAGCCCCGGGCUCAACCUGGGAACGGCAUCCGGAACUGUCAAGCUAGAGUGCAGGAGAGGAAGGUAGAAUUCCCGGUGUAGCGGUGAAAUGCGUAGAGAUCGGGAGGAAUACCAGUGGCGAAGGCGGCCUUCUGGACUGACACUGACACUGAGGUGCGAAAGCGUGGGUAGCAAACAGGAUUAGAUACCCGGGUAGUC